UCCUCCCUCUUUCCUCGUGCCUAAUACAUGCAAGUAGAACGCUGAAGGAGGAGCUUGCUCUUCUGGAUGAGUUGCGAACGGGUGAGUAACGCGUAGGUAACCUGCCUGGUAGCGGGGGAUAACGAUUGGAAACGAUAGCUAAUACCGCAUAACAGUAGAUGUUGCAUGACAUUUACUUAAAAGGUGCAAUUGCAUCACUACCAGAUGGACCUGCGUUGUCUUAGCUAGUUGGUGGGGUAACGGCUCACCAAGGCGACGAUACAUAGCCGACCUGAGAGGGUGAUCGGCCACACUGGGACUGAGACACGGCCCAGACUCCUACGGGAGGCAGCAGUAGGGAAUCUUCGGCAAUGGACGGAAGUCUGACCGAGCAACGCCGCGUGAGUGAAGAAGGUUUUCGGAUCGUAAAGCUCUGUUGUAAGAGAAGAACGAGUGUGAGAGUGGAAAGUUCACACUGUGACGGUAUCUUACCAGAAAGGGACGGCUAACUACGUG
rnacentral:rRNA from 1 species